rnacentral:rRNA from 1 species
AUGCCACCUGGAUCCCAUGGACACCAUCUGGACAAAAGGAGUGCAUGUGUAUGGCCACCUGGAAGUGGUCGCAAGAGCGACCAGCAGAGGCGCCCUCGCGGCGGCCGGUGGCGGAAUGCAGUGGUGCUACGCAGUGCGCUUCUGUCGGUGACACCAUGCCUUCUCCCCGCCGGACGGUUGUUGGUCGGCACCGCACAUAGAAGAGUGGAGGGCUGUCGAUGGAGAAUGGCGAGGAGGGGUGCGCCUCCCCAACCGUCGAUGUCGCAGACUUUGAGGGCGCUGUCCGUGGGGAAAACAACAUGCCCAAGGUCCCCGACGCAGUGGACGAGAUCGAGGUCCUUUGCGCAGCGAAGCGCAACUAGGAGGAGCGGCAGCUGCAGACCACGCAACUCCCGCACACGCCGACGCGCUAGGAGGCCAUGUGCAGCAGCCUGCAGUCUCACCGCCGCCGACACGUGGCGGGUAGUGAUCCAAGCUGCAAGCGGUGACGGCGACGGUGGGAACUUGAUCUGCUGGAUGGGGACGCCCUGGGGAAGUGGUGAUGGCGACGGCGGGAACUUGAUCUGGUGGAUCGGGACUCCCGUCGGCGCGGUCGAUGCGGGGUCGGAGCUGACCUGCGAUGGCUGCUGCAGUUGCAGCGGCUGCUGCGGCGGAGUGCUGGGCGCGGCGGAGGUCGCCAGGAGCGGUGGCUGCCACUGCAGCCAGGGCGGGGCGGUGGUGGCGGUGGAUGGCAGCUGCUGCAGCGGCCCGGUGAGCGCGGCGGAGGCCACCUGGUGCGGCGGCUGCCACGGCAGCCAGGACGGGGCGGUGGUGGUGGUGGAUGGCAGCUGCAGCAGCCCGGCGGAGGCCGCCUGGUGCGGCGGCUGCCAUGACAGCCAGGACGGGGCGGUGGAUGGCAGCUGCAGCAGUCGCGGCGAGCGCGGCGGGGGGCGCCUGGUGCGGCGGCAGCCACGGCGGCGCGGUGGCGGUGAUGGGCGGCACAGCCGGGUGCAGCCCGUAGGACCCGGCCAAGAACAGGCGGAUCUCCUGGACCGCCUGUAUUAG